GACAGACACGCAGACAAAAAUCCUGCCUUCUGCAUCGCUUCCUGCGGAUUUCUGUUAUUUCCUAGAAUCCUGCUAGUUCUCUUUGUUGUUUUUAUUUCAUUGAUAGCUUUGCUUUGCAAUUGUUUCCUUUGCUCUGCUGUAUGAGAAGUGUUGAAUCACAGCCUGAACCCCAGACGGAGCAGCUGAGGAAAGCAGCCGGUGAGCCCUGGGAGCGCAGCUGAAGGCAAUGGAGCUCUGUGGCCGGAAGGAGCGGAGACUGGCUGCCUCUCUUGGAGCUCAUUUAAGGGCUGACUGGCACAGGAGAAGGGCUUGGUUCUGGAAGGUUCUCUGCCAUGGAGUUUGAACUGUCGGUGUAAAUCCUUGGAGAUGUGUGACACCCCUGGCCCGUCAGGUAAUUCAGCAGGGAGUUGUGCCUUCUUAUGAAGCUGUGACAGUUGAUCCUUUCUUUUGCGUCCUGACUUGAUCCGUCUGGAGCUGCUGUGAUGGCCUUCCCAUUGCCCUUAGUUCUAAGGCUCUGUAUCUGCUGUUCCAAACCAGCGUUCUGUGGAGCUGAACCCAGUAGAGAAAGGUCUGGUGCUGAAGAUUGCGGAGCUGUUAUGUAAUGAAGAUGCCAGUGAUGGAAGAGCAAACUGCUGGGUUGAGAAAGCUGCCAGGCUGCUCCCUGGGAAUCCUGUUGCUCUCAGAU